rnacentral:lncRNA from 1 species
AAGGCAUUUCUCGUCCAAGGUCCAACAUCAUGGGCGUCCAUGAUACCCUGGAGACAUUUUAGAGACUGGCCUGAAAUAUCACUCCAAGAAACUGGAGGGCUUGGGCUUGCUAACAAAACCAUUUGGGACAUCCUGACAGUGGGAUUAUCUACUCUGUGUGUCUUGUGGGUUAAAAGAGGAGAGAAAAGUCAGAAGAUGUUGAAGUCUGAAGAUACUCCAGCAGUUCUUACCCUCUUCACUCUGCUGUACCAUCCCCUGCCCUGACUCCAGCUAAAACUGAUUUUUUGUGUGAAAGGAGUAUUUUAGACUGUAGAUGUGCCCUGAAAUGCCUCAUCUCAGGGAGGGUGAGAAGAGCUUCUCUUAAGCAAGUGUGGUGUCUGCUUCUGGUGCUGUUUAUGGCAGAGCUGGAAACUGUCUUCGAAAUUAACAAUAGAUGUGCAUAAAUCUUCUUCAGUUACCUAGCAACUAAUACAAGACAACGCAGAGGUUCACAGGCUGGGUGGAGGUAAGCCUGUUUUAGGAAU